GGCAGGGACGGGCCGGGAGCGAGGGGAACGGGAACGGGAACGGCGCCGUGGGACUAAAGGGAACGGCGCCGUGCCCAGCCCCGCGGGAACACAGGACCAGCGUCAGGGAGGAGGAGUGGACGUGAUAGUACUUCCAGUCUGGUUCCGAUUCCCUGCCACUGGCCGGGGAGCCUUCCACUAGACCAGCUUGCUCAGAGCCCCGUCCAAAUUGGCUUUGAACGCCUCCAGGGCUGGGCUAGCCAGAGCUGCUCUGGGUGACCUGUUCCAGUGUCUCAUCACGCUCCCACUCCCCUUCAGACACUGGAGUGAAGUCUUCACACAAACUUCUCCAGGCCUGAAGAGCCCCAGCUUUCUCAGCCUGUUGUCAUAGGCUGCAGAGGUGAGGCUCCAGGAGGAGUAAGGGACCACAACAACCCCGGCCCGGCCAGCCCUGGCCCCGCUGUCACGGUCCGUGGCACUCCGCCCAGGAGGCGGCUGGAAUGCUCGCCCAGCCCACGGCCUGAAGGUCAAGGUCUCACUUGCUCUCACCCAGUGCAGGGAAAGCCAACAAACCCCAGAAGUGGGUGGCUCUUGCCUAACAAGCUCCUUGCCUUGGCCUGCCCUCUACCAUCUCACCCCUGAAAGUUUUCUUCAAGCAGCAGCAGUAAGGUUUUUUUGUGUAGUUUUCUUAGAUCUCUGCACCACAGUGAAUUCUAAAGCUUCUGCAUCAAGAAAUGUAAGUGUGGAAAUACCACCAUGAGCCACAAGCACCUUAACUGCUCAUGGACCAGACUCUCUACAUAGGUUUGGCUUUGAAUUAUACCAACAAAAAUUCCCUUUUUAAAGAUAUAAAAAUAAAUACAAAAAUGCAAAUUGAGCCUCAAAAUAAAUAAACAGUCUAUCUUGGUCGAGGCUAAGAAGCCUGUGUCACAUGUUAAAAAUAUUGUCAAGAGCACAGUGGUGUAAUGCAAAAUGGAUGCCAUGCCUGGUUG